rnacentral:rRNA from 1 species
CAAGAGCCCCGAAAAGGGCCUCGAAC